ensembl:lncRNA
GUGAGAGUGGGAGGGGGAAGGGAGCAGGGGACCAGGCCCUGGGAGAGGAGACUCUCAGGGAGGUAGAAGUCCCUGGAUGAGGGGAGAGAGGGCACUCCAGGGCUAACGUUCAGGGAGUGGGAAGGAACAGAAGGUUAGAAGAGGAAGCAUCUAGGGGGUCCUCAUUUCACAACCUCCAAAAUGCAGCACGUGGGGCCAGUGGGUGGGCAGGGGUGGUUUGGAGGCACCUGGCAAAUGGGUCUUACCCCUUCCUCCUCCAGCCCCUUCCCAUCAAGCCCCGCCCCUUUCAGCUUUCCAAGUCCUCUGCUAUCCCCGGUUGACUCCAGCCUUGACCCUCCCGUGCUGUCUGUCAUAAUUACUCCCCUCUGCCCUUUUAUCCGUAAACUCCACCCCUAGUGACAGACAGCAGGGCCUCAGGGGUUUGAGAGGAUGAAGGGGACCUCUUAGCCACUCCUCCCCUCCCUCCCUCACACACACACACACACACACACACACACACACACACUGUGUAGGCUGCCAGGCAUAUGGCCCCUUUGUACCCACACAAUGGAGACCCUGCCUGUGCCCCUUUCAUCUGGGCACAGCGCUCCUCUCCCUCUUUCACUCACCUUCCUUCCUUCCCAGUGCGGUGCUGGCCUUCUUUGCCUUCUCUUUCUGACUCUUGCUUUCUUAUGUCCUUUCCAUAAGCUCUUGAAAUCUGAUUGAGUGAGGAUUGGAGGCAGGAGAAAGAAGCUGACAGGAAGGUCACAAUCCCUGAAUGCUAGUUUGCCAGAGAGAAGCGGGAAGAGAGCAGAGAGGGAGCUGGGGAGAAGGGAGGUGGUGUGGUGGCCACAGCAGAACCAGCAGCGUUGUGCCGGAGGGGAGAGAAUGCCCUGUGGCCUAGCCCCAUCCUCGACUUUUAUGCUUUGUGCCAUAAUGAGCAAAGCACGUGCCUCCCUGCGCCUCAACUUCCUCCUCUGCAGCAUGUGAAGGCUGUGAAUUCCAUAUCUGGUCAAGAUACUAAGGAUUCCUCUUUCUAAGCAGUGAAGCUGGGGAAGGGCCCUACUUUUCACCAAAAUUGAAGACCUAACCUUUGCCACUCUGGUA